rnacentral:lncRNA from 1 species
AAAUAGUAUUGAUUCAUGGAAUAAGUGUAAAUAUGCUUUUAUUUCCAAGCAUUUUUGUGACGCCCUCGAUUCAAUUGUACACUAAUCAUACACGCAAAUGUGUACGAUCAAGAUCAAGGACUCACGAGAAGAUAUAUCACAACACAACUCUAGACACAAAUUAAAAUAAUACAAGCUUUAUAUUACAAGCUAGGGGCCUCGAGGGCUUGAAUACAUAAGCUCGAAUACAAAAGAGUCAGCGGAAGCAACAAUAUCUGAGUACAUACAUGAGUUAGACAAGUUUGCCUUAAGAAGGCUAGCACAAAAGUAGCAACGAUCGAAAAGGCAAGGCCUCCUGCCUCGGAGCCUCCUAACUACUCCUGGUCGUCGGCGGUCUCCAAGUAGUAGUAGGCAUCGACAGUGGCAUCUAGCUCCUUGGCUCCGACAUCUGGUUGUAUCAACCAGAAAGAAGAAGAAAGGCGGAAAAGGGGGAGCAAAGCAACAGUGAGUACUCAUCCAAAGUACUCGCAAGCAAGGAUCUACACUACAUAUGCAACAUUAUCAAAGGAAGGCUGUAUAUGUGGACUGGGCUGCAGAAAUGCCAGAAUAGAGGGGAGAGCCUAGUCCUAUCGAAGACUAGCAUCUUCUGGAAACCACCAUCUUGCAGCAACAGGAGGGAGUAGAGUAGCAUAAAGUAAAGUAGUAGAAGUGCUAUCAACCUCGGCCAGAGAUCCUUUCUCGACUCCCUGCGAGAAAGCAAUCCCAGAGCCAUACUAACCAUUUCUCAUCACAAUCCAAUUCUCAUCACAAGUAUCCAGUUCUAGUUGUAUUGAUCGGGAUACAACUCCAAGUGUCCGUUACCAUAGGACAUGCUAUCGAUAGAUGUUUUCUUCCCUGCAGGGGUGCACCAACUUACCCACCACGCUCGAUUAACUCCGGCCAGACACACUUUCCUGGGUCAUGCCCGGCCUCGGCCAAACAAUACGCCGCAACCCGACCUAGGCUUAAUAGAGAGGUCAAGCACGCCAGACUAAACCUAUGCCCCCAGGGGUCAUGGGACAUUGCCCCGGGAACUCCUGCACGUUGCGAACGUGGCUGGUGAGCGGACCUAGCUACCUCCUUAAAAAAGGCAGGUGCUUACCAGUCCAACCCGGUGCGCCGCUUAGUCGCUGACGUCUAUUAAGCUUCGGCUGAUGCAUAUGACGCAGAACGCCCAUACUAUGCCCACGUGAUGGUUAGUGCUAUCAGGCCAGAGGCCCCUCGGAUCAAAUAUCCAAAUCGUAGUGGAUUAGGAACGCGCGGUAACAAGAAGAGACUCACGAAAGAUGUGACCCCGUUGCCCCGUCUCGAGGACUUGCGGCAAGGGCUAGGAAUGCCCGGCCACGCCUCGUAAUUAUCUCACGGGCACCCUCCAGGGCAACCCGUCUCCACAUCACUCGCGGGUACCCCUCAGGGUCGACCCGCCUUUCCAAGUAACAGUGGUAAAGUCCAAGUAUCCGUGUGUCCAAAUAUCAAUGGAAAACCCGAGGAACCACCCCCGGUGAAUUCCACUCGAUGUAAUCAUCAAGGUGAACGUAAGAGGAACCACCCCCGAGGUUCACACUUGAGGGGUUGCACGACAGAGUCGUAUCGGAAGUGGUUAAGGCGGAAUCACCCUCGAUGACCACGACCGAAUAGCUACACUACAGGAUUAACAUCAGAAGUGCUGUAGAGGUCACACCCUCGGCACUCGAUAGUAACCCAGUAGUGUCGAGCAACUAAGGGGAAAGUGAUGUGCGGUGCCAGGGCCUGGUCUUCGAUCCCGUUGAUCGGGUCUUCAAUGAUGAAGCAGGGGCAACAAGGACAAGGUGGGGGUCACUGAUGGAUCACUAACCAACAUAUACUAAGCAGUUUAGGAUAAGCAGGUAGGUAACAAUAAGCAGGUUACAAAAGCAGGCUAUGCAUCAGAAUAUGAUCAAACAAUAACAGUAGCAAAAUCUAAUGCAAGCAUGAGAGAAUGGAAUGGGCGAUAUCGGGAUGAUCAAAGGGGGGGCUUGCCUGGAAGCUCCGCUGAAAGGGAAGAAGGGUCGUCGGUGACGUAGACAAUCACAGUGGCACCGACAGCGGUCUCGGGGUCUACUAGAGAGAAGAGGGAGAAGAAACAAUAAAUAUGAAGCAAACAUAGCAUCCCAAUUCAUAACAUGGCAACACGCGGUGCUAAAGGUGACCGAACGCCGUACUACACGUUGGAGACGGAGAGGGAACACAUCCGGAGAGGCUUUCCCGGCAUUUGGUAUUUUCCGGACAGAUGAAAAGAGGGGGACGGUUCCAUGUUCAGCAUGCUAGGGGCAUGUGAUAGAUGAACGAACCGCGUAUUCGGAUUCGUUGGAUUUUUCUGAGCAACUUUCAUAUAGAAAACAUUUUCAUCCGAGUUACGGUUAUUUUUAUAUGAUUUUUCAAAGUUUUAAACAUUUCGGGAAUUAAUUAAUAAUUAAACUCGAAUUUAAGCAAAAAUGCAGAAUAGGCUGGGUGCACCCGGUGCAGUGCACCCAGAGUCGCGCUAGUGGCUGACAGCGGGGCCAGUCAACUGCCCAGUCAACAGUUGACUCAUCAGUUUGACUAGUCAAAGAGGGUCUAGUGGGACCCGCAUGUCAUUGUUUCUGACUCUAGUAGGUUAGGUAAUUUUGUUUAAUUAACAGCGGGGCCCAUUUGUCAUUGAGUUAGUAGUCUAACUAAUGUAGACAAUUAAGUUAAUUACCCUAAUUAGUGGGAGGGGUUAUGCUAAUGGGGGAGUUAGCAUCCCCCAAAUUAAGCAGGGCCGGCCAGAGUAGGCAACGGCCAGGCGGCCAGUGGGGAAGCACGCACGCACGCGCGUAGAUGAAGGAACCCAGCCCGGCCGGUGGCGAGCAGCGGCGGGGGCGCCAGCCGGUGGAUAGAGGUGCGGGAAGCGCCCGCCGGCGCGGCCCCGGCUCGGCCAAGCGCGGCCGGGCGCGACCAAGUGAGCAACGCAGGCAAGGCGGCUGGAGGCGGGCGUAGGCAGCGGCGGGCUGCAGCAGCGCUCGGGCGCCGGCCGGAGGCAAGCUACCGCGGGCGGCAGCGGCGUAGGUAGGGGAGCAGCGACCAGCAGUCGGGAAGCAACAGCGGCAAGUAGUAGCAGCGCAGCAGCGGCAAAUAGCAGCAGCAAACAGCGGUAGCAGCAGGCAGUACGCGGCGUAGCUAGGAGCGGCAACAGUAGCACACGAACAACAACAACAGCAGGGCGGGUGGCAGCAACAAAGGCGGGUGCGCACGGAGGGGAAGCAGGGCGCGACCAGCAUGGGCGGGCUCGCGGCCAGGGGGACAGGCGGACGAGCCCCGGCCGCGCAUGCGAAACAGGCGGGGACGCGGUGAGGGCAGCAAUGUGUUCGGGCGACGGCGGGGACGACGGCGGAAUGGACAAGAUUCAAGAGGGAGAGGAGAGGAAUCAGACGGGGGCUCACCGAGGAGUGCAGGGGCGAGGUCGGGGCGGCCGGGGCUGGUCGGGGAUGCGCAGGUCAACGACGAGAUGCAGCGACCGUGGCGGAGAUGCACGAGGCUAGUGACGGCGAGACAACGUUUUGGCCUCCAUCCAGAGGCAGGGACGAUGUAGACGAAGACGACGAGGCCGAUGGUCAAGCUCCUAGGCGCCCGGGUCAACUGUGGCCACGAGCUUCACAACGGUGCGGCCAUGGGGGUCGCAGACGACGGUGCGGCCAUGGGGGUCGCAGACGACGGUGGGUGUGAACGGGCAGAGGGAGAUGGGGGCAAGUGAGGGGAAAGUGGGUGUGCUAGGGUUCGCAAGAUGGGAGGUCGAUGGCGUCUUAUCUAUCGGGGGGAACGUGGGAUGGCCGACACGCAUGCCUAGCGGUGGCCAUGGUGGCUGGAUGUGUGCCACGACCUCGGUCUUGUACAGGGAAAGGGGAUGACCCCCAUUGGGCUGGGCCAGUGCAUUGUAGCGGUUGGGCCAAAAUGAAAAUGAGACUUUUCUUGUGCCUGUUUUGUAUUUUCUCAGACGUUUUAUAUUUUAGUUAGUAAAAUGACUUUUCUUGUACAUGAAACUUCACAAAUAAAUUACACACAAUAAUUCUAGACCACACACAAAGUUUCACAACGUUUGGAAAAGCAUAAAUAUUUGUUUUAUUUUGAAAAGGCCAAAAUAUUUGCUGAUGGGCCAUUUAUUAAUUUCCUAGGGCAUUUUGGGAAUUCAGAAGAGGUUGGUUUCAACAUGACAAAUGAUCAGGGGAAUUCUUAGAAUAAUGCAAACAUUUUAUUAUGCAUAUUUGAGAAGUUUGAAAUUUGAAUUUAAAAUUUGGACUGGAUUUGAAUCAAAGUGAUAUUAGCAACAGUAACAAUGAUGACAAGGCAUCAUUAGAAGGGGAUUACUGUAGCUGAACUAUCGGGGUGUUACAAAUCUCCUCCACUACAAGAAAUCACGUCCCGAGAUUUAAGUGGGGAAGUAAAGAGUAACUUCAGGUGAACUGACCCUUACAGGGUCAAUUGUCUGGUGAACAAUGCAGGGAAUGUGACAGAAGUAUCUCUCGAGUUGAAAUUAAGAAAAUGUCGAGAGCAAAAUAUGAAGGUACCAUGAGAAGUUUUAACGGGCAGGCAAUCAUUCAAUGCCUAAUCAAAAGGUGAAUGGGGGUCAGAGCAAAAACAACAAAAAUUAUUGCGUCUGAUACUAGAAUAGAUCACUAGGAAGGUGGCUCAUGAAUUACAUACGAAGGCAAGUGAAAAAGGAUACUUCGGAAUCAAGGAUGUACAGGAGUCAGGUUUAGAUCCUGUGGAACUGUGGGUUAUGAGCCCACCAUGUGGUUCAAAAGUAGGAAGGAUGCUAACAUGUUGCACGAUCAUGGUAGCAAGGCACGGUAGAGGAUAGCGUGUCAGUUAUGUUGGCAACAAUGUUGGUACCAAGGGCGAGGGACGAAGAGAACCAUUUUCCUGCUUGUUGAAUGAGGCGGACCAAUAGGCAAAGUUCUCGUCCAUCGGGGGUUACCAGGAUGUCGUCAGCAAUAGUAACAGGGUCACACUGACAGAGUUGUAAACCAAGGUGUUUCCAUAAGCAGGGAAUUAUUUCUGCUUAUAACAUAUAUAGAUCACAAGAAAGGUUAAGCAAACCAAUGGAAAGGAAAAUGCGUUUAUACACAAAAUUUAGGAGUGUAACUUUUCCCAAGGAAAAGUAGAGCAUGAUAUACAUGUUAGAUCAACAAGUACAUCACCAUUUGGAUAAAGGGGCAAGGGAAUUCAUGAUGUUAUCAAUACAACGGUGUUUGGAUAAUAGAGCAAGAAACAUUUGGCAAUGCACUUCCAAUGUUCUUGUUGUUGUUCGGCGUACCACAGUCAUGCUUCGAGGUAACAUUAACAUGGUGUUUCAAGCAAGAUUGAAUCUGCAGGUCACAAGAAGUACAAAGGAACAAUUCCAAGAAUGCCAAGGAAUGUAAGAUAUAAUCAAAACAUGACCAAGUCUAUAUUGGCAGGAAGUCAAGGAUGGUGUCGAUGACAACACAAAUCAUCGAUGGGCAGGGAUGGUAUUUCUCCUCAAGAAUUCGAUUGAUAUCUUAGAACAAGGCAGUAUAUUGAUGGUGAUCAUGACCAAUUUGUCAAGAGGCUCUAUGAAGAUGCCAUCGAGCAGCAACGACAUCAAGCAAAAGGAAUGAUGAAGCAAAGGCUAUUGGAACCACGCAUAUGACACAAGCUCGGAUUCAAGCUUGUUGUUCAAGGUGGAAUGAUAAGAUGAGGAAGAUCGACGUAAGCUUCGCUCAUCGUCGAAAAGUUGUCCUCCGGGAAUAAGGACCAGGUAGCACAGUUAAAAUUUAGCACGAUAAUGAUAUAGCUAAUCAGGCUAGGAAGGACUUGAAGGAUUAUUAAACUCGUAAGCAACAAAAUUACUUAGAGUUGUUGAAUUCAAAGAGCGGAACCGAUUCACUCAUUGGUGUUCUUGAGUGACUAAUAACUCAGAACCCGGGGAAAAUUGGAAUCGAUGAGAAGCACUACUAGAAGAAGACUCACAGGAAGCAACACAGAUGUUAGAUAUUCUCGAGAUACCAGAGGGUAAUACUCGAAGGUAGAGUAGAAUAGAUGCUUGACAGGUGAAACGAUCUGCAGAAGACAAGUACUUUAACUUGUUUGAGAAAUGGGAUCAAAGAAGAACAAUAUGGCUAGAACCAUGAUUGCAAAAGAUCAAAUCCCAGAGACCGGAUGAUAUUAUAUCAAGGAAGUUAUUAUUACAAGAAGCUUACAUGAUAGGAUCUACAUCGUGUCCAUGGGCAUGAACAAAAGUUCAAGGCCGACUCCCACUCUUCAAUGCAUAACCUCUCAUUCACUUCUCGCCUUCGAUGGAGUUGUAAUGUUGAAAGUUAUUUGACAAAACACCAGAAGAGUAAGACUCGUUAAAAAUCUCGGGUUCAAACGGAUUAGGGGAGGCAUAGGUUCGACCCAUAGAGGUAUCUUAGGAACCUAUUCCACAAACUUAAGAAGUAAACAACACAAGCUCGCAGAGCAUGGUUGACAAAAGGAGAGGAUACAAUUUACCAAAGGCAUUAUGUAUCUCGGAAAGGACUUCACGAGGUUCUUUGAAUAUGAAGGACACUGUCGGAUGAUAAUCCAAUAAUGGAUUUGGCGGACCGCAAGGAAUCCGAUGUGAGUGUCGAUGUUCAACGAAAAGAAGAAAUAACGCAAUGGCAUCGGAUUAUAGGGACAUCUGGAUAAUUUCAAAGCUUAAAUACAAAGGAAUUAUGAUUUCCAUAUCGGGGGGAUCAAAAGCAGAGGCUCUGAUCAAUAGAUAAGUAAGUUGAAUAAACAUAUAUCGACAAUCAAUCUAGGUUUGAUUUGCCGAGAACCAGCCCAUGUCCAAAGUGACGUCUGAGCCAAAAGGACGAACUCUAGUUUUGAGUGAGGAUUGCGAGCAUCUGCAACAUAUUGAAUCGACGGACUCAAAAUGCUAGUGACAAAGGAUGCCAAUAAGAUUACUAGACUUAUGGGAUUAACCAUAAUGCAAGCAAGCAAGAAUUUCAACAACAAUAGGCUACUGAGGAUUUUCGGAAGAUCAAAUGGUAUUUCGAAGACUUUUGUGAAACAGAUGAACAACUGGGGAUGAGCGGGUACAAGAUAAGUGCGAGGAAUUAUCGGAAGGGGUAUUCAUGUGGCAAAGAACUGCAAGGCAGUAGACACAGUAUUCUCGGAACAAUAGAGAGAAUUUUGGGGUAUCUUGUAAUAACAAGAUCAACGAGGAAUGAUUGUAUGAAUGGCAAGCGUACGCGGUUAUUCACAGGGGUUUAUCGAUGGAAGGGAAUUGCGAAAGCAUUGGCACAAAGUCUCGAGAUAACAACACAGAGUAUCUUCAAAAUCUUCUAGUGAAGCAAGCGAUCAUCUGGAAUGAGGGGCUCUCCGGGAGGAAGUAUUUACGAGAACCUAAGGUUAGAGUUUGCAAAAUCAUUUAACCUAAGUAGAAGAGAGAUCAGAGUCCCAGAGUAUAGAUGAGGAGUAAAAGAUCCUAAUACCACCCAAUGGCUACGUGGGCCCGUAAGACACACAGCCAAUGUUAGUAAAAGUUUUUCAGUGACUAGACUCAACUUCGGCCAAGGAGUUGAAAAGGGGGCUACCUACAGGCAGUCGGCUCUGAUACCAACUUAUGAUGCCCUCGAUUCAAUCGUACACUAAUCAUACACGCAAAUGUGUACGAUCAAGAUCAAGGACUCACGGGAAGAUAUCACAACACAACUCUAGACACAAAUUAAAAUAAUACAAGCUUUAUAUUACAAGCCAAGGGCCUCGAGGGCUCGAAUACAUAAGCUCGAAUACACAAGAGUCAGCGGAAGCAACAAUAUCUGAGUACAUACAUGAGUUAGACAAGUUUGCCUUAAGAAGGCUAGCACAAAAGUAGCAACGAUCGAAAAGGCAAGGCCUCCUGCCGGGGAGCCCCCUAACUACUCCUGGUCGUCGGCGGUCUCCACGUAGUAGUAGGCAUCGACAGUGGCAUCUGGCUCCUCGGCUCCGACAACUGGUUGUAUCAACCGGAAAGAAGAAGAAAGGGGGGAAAGGGGGAGCAAAGCAACCGUGAGUACUCAUCCAAAGUACUCGCAAGCAAGGAUCUACACUACAUAUGCAACAUUAUCACAGGAAGGCUACAUGUGGACUGGGUUGCAGAAAUGCCAGAAUAGAGGGGGGAGCCUAGUCCUAUCGAAGACUAGCAUCUUCUGGAAACCACCAUCUUGCAGCAACAGGAGGGAGUAGAGUAGCAUAAAGUAAAGUAGUAGAAGUGUUAUCAACCUCGGCCAGAGAUCCUUUCUCGACUCCCUGCGAGAAAGCAAUCCCAGAGCCAUACUAACCAUUUCUCAUCACAAUCCAAUUCUCAUCACAAGUAUCC